rnacentral:rRNA from 1 species
UCACACCGGUUUAAAMUCAGAUCAUGUAAAAUUUUAAAGGUCGAACAGACCUAUCUUAUUAGCCUYUUCACCAACAAUUAAUUUUAAUCCAACAUCGAGGUCGCAAUCUUUUCUUUCGAUAAGAACUCUAAAAAAAAUUACGCUGUUAUCCCUAAGGUAAUUUAAUCUUUUAAUCUAAAUUCAGGAUCACAUACUUAUAUAUCUAUAUAAAAAUAAAAAAAAGUUCCUUAAAUUUUUUCAUCACCCCAACAAAAUAAAUAUAUAAAACUUAACUCUUUAUUCCUCUUACCUUUAAAUAUUCAACUAUUUAUAAAACUCUAUAGGGUCUUCUCGUCUUCAAUAUAAAUUUGAGCUUUUUAACUCAAAAAUAAAAUUUUAAUAAACUUUUAUAGAGACAGUCACUUUCUCAUCAAACCUUUCAUUCAAGCUUUCAAUUAAAAAACUAGUGAUUAUGCUACCUUUGCACGGUCAAUAUACCGCGGCCAUUAAAUAAUCUCAGUGGGCAGGUCA